rnacentral:rRNA from 1 species
UACAGAGGGUGCAAGCGUUAAUCGGAUUUACUGGACGUAAAGCGCGCGUAGGUGGCCAAUUAAGUCAAAUGUGAAAUCCCCGAGCUUAACUUGGGAAUUGCAUUCGAUACUGGUUGGCUAGAGUAUGGGAGAGGAUGGUAGAAUUCCAGGUGUAGCGGUGAAAUGCGUAGAGAUCUGGAGGAAUACCGAUGGCGAAGGCAGCCAUCUGGCCUAAUACUGACACUGAGGUGCGAAAGCAUGGGGAGCAAACAGG